rnacentral:rRNA from 1 species
UACGUAGGUGGCAAGCGAUACUCGGAAUCACUAGGCGUAAAGCGCAGGUAGGAGGUUUGGUAAGUCUGUUGUGAAAGCUCCCGGCUUAACUGGGAGAGGUCAACGGAAACUACCAGGCUAGAGUGCGGUAGAGGUAGCUGGAAUUCCCGGUGUAGCGGUGAAAUGCGUAGAUAUCGGGAGGAAUACCUAUGGCGAAAGCAGGCUACUGGACCGUCACUGACUCUGAUCUGCGAAAGCUAGGGGAGCAAACAGG